rnacentral:rRNA from 1 species
AGUGAACGCUGGCGGUAGGCCUAACACAUGCAAGUCGAACGGCAGCACAGUAAGAGCUUGCUCUUACGGGUGGCGAGUGGCGGACGGGUGGGGAAUACAGCGGAAUCUACUUUUUCGUGGGGGAUAACGUAGGGAAACUUACGCUAAUACCGCAUACGACCUACGGGUGAAAGCAGGGGAUCUUCGGACCUUGCGCGAUUGAAUGAGCCGAUGUCGGAUUAGCUAGUUGGCGGGGUAAAGGCCCACCAAGGCGACGAUCCGUAGCUGGUCUGAGAGGAUGAUCAGCCACACUGGAACUGAGACACGGUCCAGACUCCUACGGGAGGCAGCAGUGGGGAAUAUUGGACAAUGGGCGCAAGCCUGAUCCAGCCAUACCGCGUGGGUGAAGAAGGCCUUCGGGUUGUAAAGCCCUUUUGUUGGGAAAGAAAAGCAGCAGGUUAAUACCCCGCUGUUCUGACGGUACCCAAAGAAUAAGCACCGGCUAACUUCGUG